AGCUUCAACAGCACUCACUUCCCCUGUCUUGAUGAGGUUGAAUCUCCUGUUUCCUGGACCCCAAGUCUUCUGUUUUCUUGAUUUACUUGCUGGGCUGAGGCACACCCUUAAGUAAUUCCCUAACAACAGGGUUGCUCCUAGAUGUGUGGGGCCUCAGAUAAAUAUUUUUUUGUGGGACCUUUUUCUAAAUAAAUAAUUUGACUAAGAAAGUAUUACAAAAUUCAUGGACCCACGUGGGGUAUAGUGUUUUAUUGAAAGUCAUUCAGAAUAAUGGAUACAGAUGAGGUACUUACAUAUUCAUUACUUAAUCAGUGCAUGUGAAAAUUCUUUCUUCAUAAUGUCCAGGCACUAUCUCUGUGUUCUUGGCUAAUUCCAUAUCUCCAGUCAUGAAGAAAAGUAGCAAUACUGUCAUUACUCACAAUGCCAAGUUCUUGGGAACUUGUUUACAAUGAACAAUAUAGAUCUGUACUACUUUUGCAAUACAAUUUAUUGAAGUCUGGUUAUAUUGUUAUAGAUGAUGCUGCACCAUGAAUACUGGCUUUCAAUGACUUUCUCAAAAGUUGUUGCUGUGCUUCAUUGUUGAUGACCAAAAAUGCAAGUCUUAUCCAGAGUAUGCAAGAAAAUGUGAACAAUAAUUUGUUUUCUGAUUAUGUUGAAUUUACUGUUUAUAAUCU
rnacentral:lncRNA from 10 species